GUGGGUAUGGAUGUUUUGCCUGCAUAUAUAUCUGUGCAUCAUGUGUGUGCCUGGUGUCCAGGGAGGCCAGAAAAGAACGUGAGAUCCCCUGGGGUUGGGGUGACAGAUGGUUGUGAGUCACCAUAUGGGUGCUGAAAAUUAAACCUCCGUCUUCUCAAAGACCACUAAGUGCUCUUACCUGCUGAGCCAUCCCCCCAGCCCGGCAGGGAAAUCCUUAAGGGCGAGAUCUUGGGAAGGUUGAGGAAACCGCAGUUCCCAGAGCCUGGGCUUACUCCCAGUUCAGUUGGGAGGACAUCUGUAGUUGGCUUUCAGUUCUUUGAGGCUCCAGAUUUGGGCAUUUCUCAAUCUGAGCCAUUGUUACUCAUUGUAACUCAGCCUAAGUAGGAAGGAGUGAACAGCUAGCCCUCUGAAGUCAUGCUAUCAUGUUCUCUGGUACCUUAGGCUGAAGUGGUAAGAGGUCUCAUUGAAUCCUUUCUCCUCCACCAUGCUGGCCCCAUCCCUCUUUUUGUGGUGGUGGGACUUCAAACCUAUACAUGACUUUGUACCCACUGAGCAUGUACCUUUCAUGGGUUUGGUAGUGAAUGCCCAUGAAUCCUAGCAUGGGGAAGUCUGAGGCAGGGGGACUGCCAUGAGUUUGAGCUCUAUGACAAGACCUUGUCUCAAAAGAGAGAGAGAGAGAGAGAGAGAGCAAGCAAGCAAAGGAAGAAAAAGACACACUGUGCCCUGAGCUACAGCCCCAUGCUAGCCCGUGUUCAAUGCCCCUGUACUAGACAAAUCCUUUCUGAGUCACAAUUCUUGGUUGUAGGUGAUGAGAUAUUCUGUAAGAAGCUUUUCAUUCUUUACAUAAAGGGGAUUAGAGAGUAUAGAUGGCUCAUAGACUCUUUAGGAAGCUUUGAGACUUUUUUUUUUUCCUGAAGAAAUAGAGCUAGGGCCUAGGAUGGAGUUCAACAUGCAGGAAGCCCUGGGUUUGAUCCACCAAACUACAUAAAUUGGGUAUGGUGACACAUAUCCGUGAUCCCAGAUCUUCAGGUGUGUAGGCAGGAUGAUCAGAAGUUCAAGGUCAACCUUAGAUACAUAGGGAGUUUAAGGGUAGCUACAUGAGACUCUGUCCCAAAAAGAAAACUCCAAGGUGCUACCUCACCAGAGUAGGCUGUGGACGAUGAGCUGCUGCUUCGGGAAUAACCAACAAGCAAGAAGCUGCCUGCUGUGUCGGGAAACCCGGAUACCUGCGAGCUCCAGAACCUCACCAGCUCUGCCAGGGGCUGUGGCCACAGAAAUGAAGGACUCACUUCCUGUUCCAUGGCCAUGUAACUCCAGUAAAGUCUCAGCUGCACUUUCAAGACACUGUCAAGGAGCCAGAGUGAGAGGUGAACCCCUUCAUGUUUGUGCAAGACUCUCAUCACCAACGUUCUGCAAGAGAAGUCAGCCCUCAACCUGAACUGCCUCAGCGGAAUACCUUUUAGACUUCUGAGACAAAGUAUCAUAGGCCAGGCCUUUCUUGAUCUUCCAACUCUCUUACCCCUCUGCUGUCUGAGUGCUGGGGCAGUGGGCAUAUACCACUAUGCCCAGCUACAAACUUAGAAUAAAAAACCCAAACUUGUUAGUACCCGUUGAGACUAAAGUCUAAAGUGAAUUAAAAGGGACAGUUUGUGUUUUCAUUUCCGAGGGUGACAUGUGGGAAGACAACUUAGAAGUGUGGCAUUUGAAAUCAGUCGGAUCUUUUUUGGAAUGGGAUCUUAUGUUAUGGAAUUUGCCAUGUAGCCCAGGUUACCCUAGAACUGUUGGUAAUCCCUCUGCCUCUGGCUCCCUAGAACUGGACUUAACGAAAUCUUCCAUGUUCAGCUUUCCUUCCUGUCUUAAAGCUUACUUCUUAACUAAGUAGUUAGCGAUAAGUUCAUAACUACUUCUCAGGGAAUCGUAGAACUGAGCCAGAACAAGCCACAGUGACUACUGACGGUGUCAAUCUGAGAAAUGUGAGCUGAAGCCUUCAGUACUGUCGGCCUGCUUGUUGAGCGAGUAGCACAAAACCAGUGAGACGUUCAAUUUAAAAAUUUAGAACCUUUCAAACCUUCCUUAUUGGACAAUAUACAAAAUAAUAGCAUUUUGUGAUGACAGAUGUUUAUGGGUCUUAGUGGCAGGUAUUUCACUGUACAGUUCUUGCUGUAGGUGUUAACUGAUAGGAGUCCUGCACUUGCUGAUGAGAAACGCCUUGGACCAGCUUGGGUGUCAGCUGCCAUGACUGUGCACUACUGCCUUCUUGCUUGUCUUUCUGGUUACCCUCUCUGCAGCAUGACUGUCGGAUCGAGUUUUGUUUUGCUGGUAAUUUUUUUUCGGUUAUGAAUUGAACCUAGGAUCUGGCACACACUAUACAAGUACUUUGCUACUUAGCUAUAUCCCCAACAUAUUCAUUCUCUCCCUCUCCCUCUC
rnacentral:lncRNA from 1 species